UACGUAGGGUGCGAGCGUUAAUCGGAAUUACUGGGCGUAAAGCGUGCGCAGGCGGUUGGUUAAGUCUGAUGUGAAAGCCCCGGGCCCAACCUGGGAAUGGCAUUGGAAACUGGCUGGCUAGAGUGUGGCAGAGGGGGGUGGAAUUCCGCGUGUAGCAGUGAAAUGCGUAGAGAUGCGGAGGAACACCGAUGGCGGAAGGCAGCCCCCUGGGCUGACACUGACGCUCAGGCACGAAAGCGUGGGGAGCAACAGG
rnacentral:rRNA from 1 species